rnacentral:rRNA from 1 species
AUUGAACGCUGGCGGAAUGCUUUACACAUGCAAGUCGAGCGGCAGCACGGGGGCAACCCUGGUGGCGAGCGGCGAACGGGUGAGUAAUACAUCGGAACAUGCCCAGUCGUGGGGGAUAACACUUCGAAAGAAGUGCUAAUACCGCAUACGUCCUGAGGGAGAAAGCGGGGGAUCUUCGGACCUCGCGCGAUUGGGGUGGCCGAUGUCAGAUUAGCUAGUUGGUGGGGUAAAGGCCUACCAAGGCAACGAUCUGUAGCUGGUCUGAGAGGAUGAUCAGGCACACGGGGACUGAGACACGGCCCAGACUCCUACGGGAGGCAGCAGUGGGGAAUUUUGGACAAUGGGGGCAACCCUGAUCCAGCCAUUCCGCGUGAGUGAAGAAGGCCUUCGGGUUGUGAAGCUCUUUCGGCAGGAACGAAACGGCGAGCUCUAACAUAGCUUGCUAAUGACGGUACCUGAAGAAGAAGCACCGGCUAACUACGUGCCAGCAGCCGCAGUAACAC